UACGUAGGGGGCAAGCGUUGUCCGGAAUUAUUGGGCGUAAAGCGCGUGUAGGCGGCCAGAUAAGUCCGCUGUGAAAACUCGAGGCUCAACUUCGAGCUGUCGGUGGAAACUUUCUGGCUAGAGUCCGGAAGAGGAGAAUGGAAUUCCUGGUGUAGCGGUGAAAUGCGCAGAUAUCAGGAAGAACACCCGUGGCGAAGGCGGUUCUCUGGGACGGUACUGACGCUGAGACGCGAAAGCGUGGGGAGCGAACAGG
rnacentral:rRNA from 1 species